rnacentral:RNase_P_RNA from 1 species
AGUAGUUACGGAUUCUAUCGCUUCCUUUUUAGGAAGAGGAAAGUCCGGACAAGGUAGAGAAACAUAGCGGAUAACAUCCGUCCUCCGUGAGGAGCGGACAAGUGCAACAGAAAGCAAGUACAGUUCGGCUGUAGUGAAAUCAGGUAAACUCUAUGUCUUGCAAUGCCAUGUAAACUAAGGUUUGAGGCUUUCUCGGCCAACUUAGGGGGUAGGCAGAUAGAGGUAAAAAGUAAUUUUUAUCCUAGAUAAAUGAUAGAUCCAUUUUGGAAACAGAAUCCGGCUUAUGAGUAACUACUAAAA